UUAUGAGCCGUCCUCCCCUCAGCAGCCUCCACUGGUGGCUGAACACCUGUUUUGUGACCUGUCAGUGACCGAGAGCAGAGAGAGCAACAGAAACAGAGAGCACAGCGCCAGCAACAGCUCCAGAAACAGCUGGAAAGCUUUAGACCAACAAGGUCUGCUGGAGACAGGGAGCCUGCCGCUGAGAAGACUGAUGUUCUUUAUGACACUGAGGCCUCUCACCUACAAUCAGUUAAUACUCUGCCUGCUGAUAUGGAGGAUAAGGAGUGCUUGCUGCUGACUGUAUGCCUCUCCAGUCCCGGCCUGGUAGCCAGCAGCAGUCAUCAUUGGAAAGCACCAACAGUGGAGUCAGCCACAACCAAAUCCCAUAUAUACAAUGCUCUGGUUGCUUGGUUUCUGUCUUUGGUGAAUAUUUAUUUGACUAGUCCUUGACAACGUCAUUCAACUGAGAUCAUCUGAUUAUUUUUACUCUGUUUGAGAUGGAGUCCAUGUCUUACUGAGGCCUCUAACUUGUGUGUUGUAGGUUGGAGCACCAGACCCUCAAGGGGAUGAUGACAGGGCUGCUGUACCUUUCUGGGUGGCCGGCCUACAGCAGCUGUGGACAGAGGAUGGACUGGCUCUACACAUCUGUGCUGUGUCCCACGGAGAGAGCCUACAACUUGUCCGAAAACCCCGGAAACGGGGUGUGGAUAAGGGUCAUAGUGUGUUCCAGCAGCGUGUCUGCAGGUUCCUCUCUCAGACCUCCCUCAGAGCCAUCUCCCAUUGGCUGCCGCAGCUCAGGAGCCUAUUAGACCAAGAGGCCUAUCCCCCAACCGUCCACAUACCUGCCUCCUGCCUGGACAGUUUUAUCUCUGUCAACUCAGACAAAAUGGCUGUGAAGAGGACCUUCGGUCUGAACCCAGGCUUCUACUGGCAGACUGUGGAGACUCAGGAGCUCAGCUGUCAGAGGCCUGAGACCAUGUGCACUCAGCAGCUACACACAGAGAUAGCUGUUGCUCUGGGAUACACGUCUUUGUUCCUGCAUCCCCUGGUGGUUCACCACACCCUCCAGCUUCUCCACAGCUCAGGCCUGGAUGUGUGUGGCCUCCGCCUCCUUUACCCUCCUCCUGGCCUUCUGACCAACAGCGCCGGUAAAAUGUCUAUUAACUAAUAAACUUCUAUUCUAUUCUUAUCUAGUUUUAUUUUACCUUUAUUUAACUAGGCAAGUCAGUUAAGAACAAAUUCUUAUUUUCACUAGGAACAGUGGGUUAACUGCCUGUUCAGGGGCAGAACGAAAGAUUUGUACCUUGUCAGCUCGGGGGUUUGAACUUGCAACCUUCUGGUUACUAGUCCAACGCUCUAACCACUAGGCUACGCUGCUGCCCCUAGUCUGCAGAUCUUCAGUGGCCUAGACUGGAAUGAUUCAGUAAGUUAUAGUAAGUAUGUCUCUGAUUCAGGCAGGGUAUCCUACGGGCAGGGAGAUGAUGGGGCCGAUGAGCCCGUCCUUGCCCUGGCUGUCCGAGGGCCUCACGCCUGCACUGUGUGGCAGGAUGUAACAGGCCCUUCAGACCCCCUGCUGGCUAGGAAGACAGACCCGGCAUCCAUCAACGCCCUGCACUACAGCAGCAAGAACUUGCCCCUCUUCUACUCCCCUCGCCUGGCCAGCAGUGUGCACAGGGAACUGGUCACGUGGUUCGCAGGGAGAGUUCCAGGGAAUAAUUCCCAGAACCCUGACCAGGCUCCAACUGACAGGUGUGUUUGUAGUCCAGAGCCAUCCUGAUGUCUCACAACCAUCACUCAAACAUUAC
rnacentral:lncRNA from 1 species